GAGGGCAUAGCUCAGUGGUAGAGCGCGUGCUCAGCAUGUGCAAGGUCCUGGGUUCAAUCCCUAGCACCUCCA
rfam:Camelus ferus unplaced genomic scaffold scaffold849, whole genome shotgun sequence.